rnacentral:tRNA from 1 species
GGAUCCUUAGUGUAGAGGCCUAUCACGUCUCCCUGUCACGGAGAAGACCACGGGUUCGAAUCCCGUAGGAUCCGCCA